UCAAGCGUCUUAAGGGCAUUUGGUGGAUGCCUUGGCGUCGAGAGGCGAUGAAGGACGUGGUACGCUGCGAAAAGCCACGGGGAGCUGCGAACAAGCUUUGAUCCGUGGAUAUCCGAAUGGGGAAACCCACCCUUUAGGGGGUAUCUGCACUUGAAUACAUAGGGUGUAGAGGCGAACCCGGGGAACUGAAACAUCUCAGUACCCGGAGGAAAGGACAUCAACCGAGACUCCGUUAGUAGUGGCGAGCGAACGCGGACCAGGCCAGUGGCUUGGGAGAGAAAACCGGAACCGUCUGGAAAGUCGGGCCUGAGCGGGUGACAGCCCCGUACGGGUACAGUCUCUUCUAAGUCCUUGAGUAGGGCGGGACACGUGAAAUCCUGUCUGAACGUGGGGGGACCACCCUCCAAGCCUAAGUACUCCUCGACGACCGAUAGUGAACAAGUACCGUGAGGGAAAGGUGAAAAGCACCCCGAUGAGGGGAGUGAAACAGUCCCUGAAACCGAAUGCCUACAAGCAGUGGGAGCCUCUUUAUGGGGUGACCGCGUACCUUUUGUAUAAUGGGUCAGCGAGUUAAUCUUACGAGCAAGCUUAAGCCGAUAGGUGUAGGCGUAGCGAAAGCGAGUCUGAACAGGGCGUUCAGUUCGUGGGAUUAGACCCGAAACCGAGUGAUCUAGCUAUGGGCAGGUUGAAGGUGCGGUAACACGCACUGGAGGACCGAACCCGAGAAUGUUGAAAAAUUCCGGGAUGACCUGUGGCUAGGGGUGAAAGGCCAAUCAAACUCGGAUAUAGCUGGUUCUCCGCGAAAACUAUUUAGGUAGUGCGUCGUGUGAUUACCGCCGGGGGUAGAGCACUGGAUGGGCUAGGGGGGCGCGAGCCUUACCAAACCUAACCAAACUCCGAAUACCGGUGAGUACAGCACGGCAGACAGACCAUGGGUGCUAAGAUCCGUGGUCGAGAGGGAAACAGCCCUGACCGCCAGCUAAGGUCCCUAAGUUAUGGCUAAGUGGGAAAGGAAGUGAGAAGGCCAAGACAGCCAGGAGGUUGGCUUAGAAGCAGCCAUCCUUUAAAGAAAGCGUAACAGCUCACUGGUCUAAUAGCCGUCUCGCGCCGAAGAUGUAACGGGGCUCAAGCCAUACACCGAAGCUGCGGGUGUGUACCAUUUGGUGCACGCGGUAGCGGAGCGUUCCGUAAGUCCGUGAAGCGGUAUCCGUGAGGAGCCGUGGAGAUAUCGGAAGCGAGAAUGCUGACAUGAGUAGCGACAAAGAGUGUGAGAAACACUCUCGCCGUAAGUCCAAGGGUUCCUCGGCAAGGCUAAUCCGCCGAGGGUGAGCCGGCUCCUAAGGCGAGGCCGAAAGGCGUAGUCGAUGGGAACACGGUUAAUAUUCCGUGGCCUGCCGGGAUGUGACGACCGCUGUGUGUUGUAGGAUCUUAUCGGAUUGAUCCUGCUUCGAAGGUGGUCCAGGAAACAGCCCCGGUUUUAGACCGUACCCUAAACCGACACAGGUGGACUGGUAGAGCAUACCAAGGCGCUUGAGAGAACGAUGUUGAAGGAACUCGGCAAAAUGCCCCCGUAACUUCGGGAUAAGGGGGCCCCAUGUCUGGGCAACCAGAUGUGGGGGGCACAGAGUUGGGGAUGGCGACUGUUUACUAAAAACAUAGGGCUCUGCGAAGCCGCAAGGCGAAGUAUAGGGUCUGACGCCUGCCCGGUGCCGGAAGGUUAAGGAGAGAGGUGCAAGCUUCGAACCGAAGCCCCGGUAAACGGCGGCCGUAACNAUAACGGUCCUAAGGUAGCGAAAUUCCUUGUCGGGUAAGUUCCGACCUGCACGAAUGGCGUAACGACUUCC
rnacentral:rRNA from 1 species